AAAUAAUAUUCAAAGAAGAAGAAGAUAUAUACCAUUAAUUCUCUCAUCAAUCAUGGCCAAGAUCAGUAUUUUCCUUUGCUCUCUAGUAGUAGUUCUAAUUGUCAUGUCAUCUUUCGGGUCGAAUAUGGUAUCAGCACAAACAGAAUGCGCGUAUUAUACCCGACCUGAAAUAAAUGACUGCUCAAAGGAGUGUGCCACGGUUUGUACAGAAAGAGGCUAUCAGGAAUCCUAUUGCUGGGAUUUUGAGUUAAACUGCAAGUGUUGCACGACCAGCUCCUUUCUCUCUUCUCUCCUCUCCUCUUUUUUCUAGGAAUUUAUAAAGAAUUUAAGUUGUUGCUUAGAUUUGGUCUUUUUGAAUCAGAUUUACUUUGGGGUGAGUUUCUCUUCGUUUUGAGGACAAUUUAUUUAAACUUCGAUCGACGAUUCGUGACUUGCUAUUCUCGAAUCAAGAACAUCGAUAAUCCAACACGAUGUUGCUUUAAAUCCAUAUUCAAUCCAAAGAAUUUAGGCAUCUGGGUUCAUUUGGAUCAUUUCUUUUAGGAGUGUCUCUUAUUGGAUAUGGAUUAGAAAAUCAGAUUAAAUCGUCGGAACCGGUUCCGGAUUAUACUAUCAUCUGCAUUUACAAAAAUUGGAUAUCUUUAUGGUUUAUAACUCUUUUCUUCACGAUUUACUUGUAAUUGAUAUAUCUUCAUUUGUAUUACGGUUUUGAUUAUCUUGUACUUUGAUGUUUUUGUUAUUCUUAUAAGCAA